rnacentral:tRNA from 1 species
GACUGUGUAGUCAAAUUAUGAUACUAAAUUGCAAGUUUAGAGUUAAAGUUAUUUUACAGUCU